rnacentral:rRNA from 1 species
GACGAACGCUGGCGGCGUGCUUAACACAUGCAAGUCGAACGGAAAGGCCCUGCUUUUGUGGGGUGCUCGAGUGGCGAACGGGUGAGUAACACGUGAGUAACCUGCCCUUGACUUUGGGAUAACUUCAGGAAACUGGGGCUAAUACCGGAUAGGAGCUCCUGCCGCAUGGUGGGGGUUGGAAAGUUUCGGCGGUUGGGGAUGGACUCGCGGCUUAUCAGCUUGUUGGUGGGGUAGUGGCUUACCAAGGCUUUGACGGGUAGCCGGCCUGAGAGGGUGACCGGCCACAUUGGGACUGGGAUACGGCCCAGACUCCUACGGGAGGCAGCAGUGGGGAAUAUUGCGCAAUGGGCGGAAGCCUGAUGCAGCAACGCCGCGUGCGGGAUGACGGCCUUCGGGUUGUAAACCGCUUUCGCCUGUGACGAAGCGUGAGUGACGGUAAUGGGUAAAGAAGCACCGGCUAACUACGUG